rnacentral:rRNA from 1 species
GAUGAACGCUGGCGGCGUGCCUAAUACAUGCAAGUCGAGCGAACGGACGAGAAGCUUGCUUCUCUGAUGUUAGCGGCGGACGGGUGAGUAACACGUGGAUAACCUACCUAUAAGACUGGGAUAACUUCGGGAAACCGUAGCUAAUACCGGAUAAUAUUUUGAACCGCAUGGUUCAAAAGUGAAAGACGGUCUUGCUGUCACUUAUAGAUGGAUCCGCGCUGCAUUAGCUAGUUGGUAAGGUAACGGCUUACCAAGGCAACGAUGCAUAGCCGACCUGAGAGCGUGAUCGGCCAGACUGGAACUGAGACACGGUCCAGACUCCUACGGGAGGAAGCAGUAGGGAAUCUUCCGCGAGGGGCGAGAGCCUGACGGAGCAACGCCGCGUGAGUGAUGAAGGUCUUCGGAUCGUAAAACUCUGUUAUUAGGAAAGAACAUAUGUGUAAGUAGCUGUGCACAUCUUGACGGUACCUAAACAGAAAGCCACGGCUAACUACGUG